GAUGCUUGCAUUGAUGAAAGAUGAGCGGCGGACGGGUGAGUAACGCGUGGGUAACCUGCCCUAUACACAUGGAUAACAUACUGAAAAGUUUACUAAUACAUGAUAAUAUAUAUUUACGGCAUCGUAGAUAUAUCAAAGUGUUAGCGGUAUAGGAUGGACCCGCGUCUGAUUAGCUAGUUGGUGAGAUAACUGCCCACCAAGGCGACGAUCAGUAGCCGACCUGAGAGGGUGAUCGGCCACAUUGGAACUGAGACACGGUCCAAACUCCUACGGGAGGCAGCAGUGGGGAAUAUUGCACAAUGGGCGCAAGCCUGAUGCAGCAACGCCGCGUGAACGAUGAAGGUCUUCGGAUCGUAAAGUUCUGUUGCAGGGGAAGAUAAUGACGGUACCCUGUGAGGAAGCCCCGGCUAACUACGUGCCUGCAGCCGCGGUAAUACGUAGGGGCUAGCGUUAUCCGGAUUUACUGGGCGUAAAGGGUGCGUAGGUGGUCUUUCAAGUCGGUGGUUAAAGGCUACGGCUCAACCGUAGUUAGCCUCCGAAACUGGAAGACUUGAGUGCAGGAGAGGAAAGUGGAAUUCCCAGUGUAGCGGUGAAAUGCGUAGAUAUUGGGAGGAACACCUAGUAGCGAAGGCGGCUUUCUGGACUGCAACUGACACUGAGGCACGAAAGCGUGGGUAGCUAAACAGGAUUAGAUACCCUGGUAGUCCACGCUGUAAACGAUGAGUACUAGGUGUCGGGGGUUACCCCCCUCGGUGCCGCAGCUACGCAUUAAGUACUCCGCCUGGGGAGUACUGCACGC
rnacentral:rRNA from 1 species